GCGUCCUUGGUGUAACGGUAACACACAGUUUAUUAAUUAUUGAUGGCCUCACAAAAGUAUUUAGAUUGGGUUCGGGGUUCGACUCCCCGAGGGUGCU